CAGUAGCCACGGUAAUACGAAGGGUGCAAGCGUUAAUCGGAAUUACUGGGCGUAAAGCGUGCGUAGGCGGUUUGUUAAGUCUGCUGUGAAAUCCCCGGGCUCAACCUGGGAAUGGCAGUGGAUACUGGCAAGCUAGAGUGUGUCAGAGGAUGGUGGAAUUCCCGGUGUAGCGGUGAAAUGCGUAGAGAUCGGGAGGAACAUCAGUGGCGAAGGCGGCCAUCUGGGACAACACUGACGCUGAGGCACGAAGGCGUGGGGAGCAAACAGGAUUAGAGACCCCCGUAGUCCCUGUCUCUUAUAC
rnacentral:rRNA from 1 species